GCGGCCUUCGAGUUAGGGCUCUAGCGAGCCCAACCUCCCACCCGUGUUUACUGUACCUUAGUUGCUUCGGCGGGCCCGCCAUUCAUGGCCGCCGGGGGCUCUCAGCCCCGGGCCCGCGCCCGCCGGAGACACCACGAACUCUGUCUGAUCUAGUGAAGUCUGAGUUGAUUGUAUCGCAAUCAGUUAAAACUUUCAACAAUGGAUCUCUUGGUUCCGGCAUCGAUGAAGAACGCAGCGAAAUGCGAUAACUAGUGUGAAUUGCAGAAUUCCGUGAAUCAUCGAGUCUUUGAACGCACAUUGCGCCCCCUGGUAUUCCGGGGGGCAUGCCUGUCCGAGCGUCAUUGCUGCCCAUCAAGCACGGCUUGUGUGUUGGGUCGUCGUCCCCUCUCCGGGGGGGACGGGCCCCAAAGGCAGCGGCGGCACCGCGUCCGAUCCUCGAGCGUAUGGGGCUUUGUCACCCGCUCUGUAGGCCCGGCCGGCGCUUGCCGAACGCAAAUCAAUCUUUUUCCAGGUUGACCUCGGAUCAGGUAGGGAUACCCGCUGAACUUAAGCAUAUCAAUAAGGCGGAGGAA
rnacentral:rRNA from 1 species